UGGAGCGUAGCUCAACUGGUAGAGCGCUUGGCUUACAUCCAAGAGGUCGUAGGUUCGAAUCCUGCCGCUCUCA
rnacentral:tRNA from 1 species